GACGAACGCUGGCGGCGUGCCUAAUACAUGCAAGUAGAACGCAGUUGCGAACGGGUGAUUAACGCGUAGGUAACUGCCUCAUAGAGGGGGAUAACUAUUGGAAACGAUAGCUAAUACCGCAUACUGUGAGAUGGACCUGCAUUGUUUUAGCUAGUUGGUGAGGUAAAGGCUCACCCAGGCGCCGAUCCAGAGCCGAACUGUGAGGUUGUUCGGCACACAUGGUCAUUGGUACAGGCCCAACCCCCUUCGGGGGGCAGCAGUAGGAAAUCUUCGGCAAUGGACUGAAAUCUGACCGAGCAACGCCUCCUGAGUGAAGAAAGUUUUCGGAUCGUAAAGCUCUGUUGUUAGAGCAGCGGUAACUAACCAGAAAGGGACGGCUAACUACGUGCCAGCAGCCGCGGUAAUAC
rnacentral:rRNA from 1 species